UCCCGGGUCGUCUAAGGGCAGGACAGUGGGUUUUGGUCCCAUUAAUGGGGGUUCGAAUCCUCCCCCGGGAG
rfam:Acidothermus cellulolyticus 11B, complete genome.